GGACUGGGCUGGCGGGACACCGGUGGGCCCCAACCCUGACUGCUGACCCAUGCCCAUAGCUUCUUCAUGAAUUCUGGACACUCCUCCCCCACCGCCUGAUCACACUUUUAUGAUGUCAUCUCAAUUUAAAACAUUUGGAGCACUCUAGAGCUGGCAUUUAUCUCUUAUAUGAAAAUAUAUUUAACCUGGGCACCCCUGGCACAGGUGCACAGGAAUCUGAAAAUAGCCCAAGACACCGUUGUGAAAUGAAUUGAUGAAGCGUAUCUAUGCCUAAAGUAUUGGAUGCAGACACCAUCUUGACACCAAACGCCAGAAAUGACAGAAUGGAGAAACUGGCCCAUAAGGAUCCACGAUGCCCAGGACUACUGGGAUUCAAAAUAGGCCCAGGCAUUUCCAGUACACAGAGGCGCAAACAGUCUAUGG